GAUGAACGCUGGCGGCGUGCUUAACACAUGCAAGUCGAACGAAGCACUUUACUUGAUCUUUUCGGAGUGAUUGUUUUGUGACUGAGUGGCGGACGGGUGAGUAACGCGUGGGUAACCUGCCUCACACAGGGGGAUAACAGUUGGAAACGGCUGCUAAUACCGCAUAAGCGCACAGUACCGCAUGGUACGGUGCGAAAAACUCCGGUGGUGUGAGAUGGACCCGCGUCUGAUUAGCUAGUUGGCAGGGCAACGGCCUACCAAGGCGACGAUCAGUAGCCGACCUGAGAGGGUGACCGGCCACAUUGGGACUGAGACACGGCCCAAACUCCUACGGGAGGCAGCAGUGGGGAAUAUUGCACAAUGGGGGAAACCCUGAUGCAGCGACGCCGCGUGAGCGAAGAAGUAUUUCGGUAUGUAAAGCUCUAUCAGCAGGGAAGAAGAAAUGACGGUACCUGACUAAGAAGCACCGGCUAAAUACGUGCCAGCAGCCGCUGUAA
rnacentral:rRNA from 1 species